rnacentral:rRNA from 1 species
ACGGCAGCACGGAGCUUGCUCUGGUGGCGAGUGGCGAACGGGUGAGUAAUAUAUCGGAACGUACCCUAUAGUGGGGGAUAACAUAGCGAAAGUUACGCUAAUACCGCAUACGAUCUAAGGAUGAAAGUGGGGGAUCGCAAGACCUCAUGCUCGUGGAGCGGCCGAUAUCUGAUUAGCUAGUUGGUAGGGUAAAAGCCUACCAAGGCAUCGAUCAGUAGCUGGUCUGAGAGGACGACCAGCCACACUGGAACUGAGACACGGUCCAGACUCCUACGGGAGGCAGCAGUGGGGAAUUUUGGACAAUGGGCGAAAGCCUGAUCCAGCAAUGCCGCGUGAGUGAAGAAGGCCUUCGGGUUGUAAAGCUCUUUUGUCAGGGAAGAAACGGUGAAAGCUAAUAUCUUUUGCUAAUGACGGUACCUGAAGAAUAAGCACCGGCUAACUACGUGCCAGCAGCCGCGGUAAUACGUAGGGUGCAAGCGUUAAUCGGAAUUACUGGGCGUAAAGCGUGCGCAGGCGGUUUUGUAAGUCUGAUGUGAAAUCCCCGGGCUCAACCUGGGAAUUGCAUUGGAGACUGCAAGGCUAGAAUCUGGCAGAGGGGGGUAGAAUUCCACGUGUAGCAGUGAAAUGCGUAGAUAUGUGGAGGAACACCGAUGGCGAAGGCAGCCCCCUGGGUCAAGAUUGACGCUCAUGCACGAAAGCGUGGGGAGCAAACA